AAAUAGGCUAGGUUGGGAGGUUAGUGGUCUCUUGUAAAUACAAAUCCUCUAUAUGGUAUAAUCGAAGUUCAUUGGGAGGCAUAUUGCGUGUCUAUAAACCUAAUAACAUAAUGUCGAAGUUCCGUCCCGCAGGAUUGGUCGUAGUAGAGUUUUAACUGUAGGGUUAAAGUAAACUAUUUUAACUAAUUGAAUGGGUCAGGUCUGGAAAGAAGCAGCUCUGUUUUGGAGAGCCAAUGCUUGUGGAUCAACGGGGUGGAGUUAUGGAGUUAGAUCAUUUAUUUUCAUAAUGUAUGUCCACCUUUGAAUGUGCCUGUUA
rnacentral:SRP_RNA from 1 species